UACGUAGGGCGCAAGCGUUGUCCGGAAUUAUUGGGCGUAAAGAGCUACGUAGGCGGCCAGUUGCGUCUGCUGUGAAAAUCCCGGGGCUCAACCCCGGGCCGUGCAGUGGAUACGGGCUUGGACUAGAGGCAGGCAGGGGAGAACGGAAUUCCCGGUGUAGCGGUGAAAUGCGCAGAUAAUCGGGAGGAACACCGGUGGCGAAGGCGGGUUCU
rnacentral:rRNA from 1 species